CCUUGUACACACCGCCCGUCACGUCACGAAAGUUGGUAACACCCGAAGCCGACGGCCUAACCUGCUUGCAGGAGGGAGUUGUCGAAGGUGGGACUGGCGAUUGGGACG
rnacentral:rRNA from 1 species